rnacentral:rRNA from 1 species
AGUGAACGCUGGCGGUAGGCCUAACACAUGCCAGUCGAACGGCAGCACAGUAAGAGCUUGCUCUUACGGGUGGCGAGUGACGGACGGGUGAGGAAUACAUCGGAAUCUACUUUUUCGUGGGGGAUAACGUAGGGAAACUUACGCUAAUACCGCAUACGACCUACGGGUGAAAGCAGGGGAUCUUCGGACCUUGCGCGAUUGAAUGAGCCGAUGUCGGAUUAGCUAGUUGGCGGGGUAAAGGCCCACCAAGGCGACGAUCCGUAGCUGGCCUGAGAGGAUGAUCAGCCACACUGGAACUGAGACACGGUCCAGACUCCUACGGGAGGCAGCAGUGGGGAAUAUUGGACAAUGGGCGCAAGCCUGAUCCAGCCAUACCGCGUGGGUGAAGAAGGCCUUCGGGUUGUAAAGCCCUUUUGUUGGGAAAGAAAAGCAGCAGGUUAAUACCCCGCUGUUCUGACGGUACCCAAAGAAUAAGCACCGGCUAACUUCGUG